GACGAACGCUGGCGGCGUGCCUAAUACAUGCAAGUAGAACGCUGAAGGAGGAGCUUGCUUCUCCGGAUGAGUUGCGAACGGGUGAGUAACGCGUAGGUAACCUGCCUGGUAGCGGGGGAUAACUAUUGGAAACGAUAGCUAAUACCGCAUAAGAGUAGAUGCUGCAUGACAUUUGCUUAAAAGGUGCAAUUGCAUCACUACCAGAUGGACCUGCGUUGUAUUAGCUAGUUGGUGGGGUAACGGCUCACCAAGGCGACGAUACAUAGCCGACCUGAGAGGGUGAUCGGCCACACUGGGACUGAGACACGGCCCAGACUCCUACGGGAGGCAGCAGUAGGGAAUCUUCGGCAAUGGACGGAAGUCUGACCGAGCAACGCCGCGUGAGUGAAGAAGGUUUUCGGAUCGUAAAGCUCUGUUGUAAGAGGAGAACGAGUGUGAGAGUGGAAAGUUCACACUGUGACGGUAUCUUACCAGAAAGGGACGGCUAACUACGUGCCAGCAGCCGCGGUAAUACGUAGGUCCCGAGCGUUGUCCGGAUUUAUUGGGCGUAAAGCGAGCGCAGGCGGUUAGAUAAGUCUGAAGUUAAAGGCUGUGGCUUAACCAUAGUACGCUUUGGAAACUGUUUAACUUGAGUGCAAGAGGGGAGAGUGGAAUUCCAUGUGUAGCGGUGAAAUGCGUAGAUAUAUGGAGGAACACCGGUGGCGAAAGCGGCUCUCUG
rnacentral:rRNA from 1 species